GGGAAAUAGACGUCGCUGUCCGGGGGCGCCACCGACGCCGCGCUGUCUGCCCCGCUAGAGUCGACCGUCUUCAGCCUCCGGAACGUCAUGGCGCUGGCAAAAAAAAAAGUUUGCUGCCAAGUCUGCCGCGACAAACGUGGAGCCUCACGGCGCUCUUCAGGCCCGUGUAAAUUUGGCCCAUCUCCAUGGCACCCUCCAAGCCGACCACCUCCAGUCUACGGUCGCUCAAGUCUGGAGACAGACACAGGAUAAAAAUUGCACGUGUCAAGGAUUUCUGGGUCCACGAUCACGUCAAGCUCGUCCUGACCAGUCAGCCCCUUAACGUCCGCCUUCUUGGUCUCACCCCAGAGAUUGGACCCGCCGUGCAUGCUGGGAAUGUUUAGGACAGCAAUACCCUCCAGAGACAGGCUGCUGAGAUCCAGAGGAGUGCCGCAGCACUGGGGAUGGAACACAAAAUGAAGAAAAGUGUUGUUGUUGUUGUUGUGUUAUUGCGGUCUCACCUCUAUCGUUAGACUUUCGUUCAGUUUCUUGCAGGAAGCCGAGAUAGUCUCUGAGGUGGCAAAUUCAAAAUACCACAGCUUGUUCUUCAUCCUACACGCAAGAAAAUCACACUUGAGCGGUGUGCGAUGGAGGCGUCCUGUCGGCGUAACGAACACUCGUCAGCGAGCCACAAAGAGACACGGACAUCACUGUGAAGACUCACCACUCCGAUGGAGAAGUAAUUGUUGAUGAUUUCAUAUGGCACAGGGUCGCCCUUCUCUUCACCCUCCUCCGCUAUGACCUGCACACUCCAGCGGUCCAUCAGAACCUGAGAGCUCCCCUCGAUGUCCUUUAGGAUCCUAUUCAGGUCCUCACCGUCGUAUCCUGAGGGGGUGAAAAACGGUGAAGUGUGCACAGGGCUGCUGUUUCAGCACCUUGAGCCCAGCUCGUGUGUGUUUGCAGGAUUGACGUGUUGGAGUCUAACACCUGCACCUUGUCAUCCUAAUUACACCUGACUGCUCUUAAGUUGCUGUGGGACUCCAACUCGUCGCCAGACUAUCAACGCUCUACGUCGAGUUCAUAGCCUAGCCACCUUGCCUAUCUUUUUGCUUCCUGAAGACGUAGUGAGUUACCUCUACCUAAUUCUUGUUCUUUGUCCCCAGUCUGCCAUCUGCCCUUGCUCCCUGCAAACCAGUGCUAACCUCUUGCGACCCACCGACAACACGGACUCCUACCCUGCCAGACCGGUCCUCGUUGGAACCCUGCCAAUCCCGGAUUUAGUUAUCUGAGUUCCUUUGUUCGCUUCCAAGCUGCCGUAAACCCUUAUUCACAAACUUACCUCCCUGUCCUCUCUGCAUCGGGUUCCAACUUGCAACCUGAAUCCUGACAGCAAUAGUCUGGCCUGUCAUGGACCCAGCGGAGACGGAUCCCCUUCGCCAAACAGUUACCGGACAGAGCAUGCUUUUGAAGCAACACGACCAAGCCCUCAUCCUGCUGAUUCAAAAGAGGCGGGCCACUACAUCGCAAACUGUCCCACACAUCCAUCAAACUGGCAGACUCUCCAAUAAAGGAGGAGUUGCCCUAGUAGACUGGAGCUGACGAGAAUAUCAUUGACCACCGCUUAGUUAAACAGAUGGGAAUUCAUCUACAUGCUUUGAUCACCCAUAUCCAGCAAGAGACUGCUCCCGUUUCCCUCAAGCUAUCAGGCUCCAUAACCCCAUCAUCGACUGGACCGUCCGUGCCCAAGAUCACCUCAUGGAGCAAUUUCUGUCAUGAGAACUGCUUGGGAUCUGCUGCGGUGCCCCUAAGUGGCCAAAGUCGGAGUAAAUCCCCUGACCUAUCAGGUGUCCCCUCAAUUUACCAUGACCUAGCUCCAGUGUUCAGCAAACACCAUGCCACCUCUCUACCCCCACACAGGCCUUACGAUUGCCCUAUUGAACUACAGCCCGGUGCACCGCUACCUAGCAGCCGUCUUUUUAACAUCUCUCGUCCAGAGCGGGAGGCCAUGGAGACCUACAUCAGCAAGUCAUUGGCCGCAGUUUUCACCAAGUUGAAUCUGCGCCAAGCCUACCACCUUGUCCGCAUUCCAGAGGGAGACGACUGGAAGACAGCAUUUAACACCCAUAGAGGGGACUACAAGUACCUUGCAAUGCCUUUCGGCCUGACCAAUGCAUCUGCUGUCUUCCAGGCACUAAUCAAUGACGUCCUACGUGACAUGAUCAGAAAUGUGUUUUUGUGUACCUGGAUGACAUCCUGGUUU